UGGCGGCUUUCUCCUCCUGGUGAGAACACUUCCACUUUCAGUUGUGAAAGAAAAACCAGGAAGUGAAGUUCCGAGCAUGUUAGAAAGCCCGGCUAUGGCCUGACUCGGGACAGCUCAGGCAGGGCAGAACUGGGGACACUCUGAGCUGUGGCUGUCUGUCUGCAUGGAUGCUCUGGAGCCCCUCUAGCCCUGGAGGAGCUAAGGGUGAAGGAAGAGGGACAGGCGCUCAUGUGCCAGGAAGAACUCAGAGCCAGGAAGCCCCCGUCGCUGGAAGCACCAAGGCAUGCGGCCCCCUCAUAGGGAGGGCAGUCAAGCAGCAGGGUGGAGAACACAUUCUAUUACUUUCAACAUUGCUAAGGCCUGAAUUUCCUGCCACUAUUCACAAAGAUGCUUUUUAUCUUUAACUUCUUGUUUUCCCCACUUUCAACCCCGGCACUGAUCUGCAUCCUGACCUUUGGAGCCGCCAUCUUCCUGUGGCUGAUCUACAGACCUCAGUCAGUCUUGCCUCUGGUUGAUCUCAACAACCAGUCAGUGGGAAUUGAGGGAGGAGCACGGAAGAGUGCUCGCCAGGAGAGCAACGACCUAAUACGUUACUACUUCUCGGAUGCCAAGACAACGUAUGAAAUUUUCCAAAGAGGACUUGCUGUGUCUGACAAUGGGCCUUGCUUGGGAUAUAGAAAACCAAACCAGCCCUACAAAUGGCUAUCUUACAAACAGGUGUCUGAUCGAGCAGAGUACCUGGGCUCCUAUCUCUUGCAUAAAGGGUACAAGCCAUCACCAGACCAAUUUGUUGGCAUCUUUGCUCAGAAUAGGCCAGAGUGGAUCAUCUCCGAGUUGGCUUGUUACACAUACUCCAUGGUAGCCGUCCCCCUCUAUGAUACUUUGGGAGCAGAAGCCAUCGUACACAUCGUCAACAAGGCCGAUAUUGCCACGGUGAUCUGUGAUACCCCCCAAAAGGCAUCACUCCUGCUAGAGAAUGUGGAGCAGGGCCUCGCCCCAGGCCUGAAAAUGAUCAUCCUCAUGGAUCCCUUUGAUGAUGACCUAAAGCAAAGAGCGGAGAAAAGUGGAGUUGAGCUCUUGUCUCUGUGUGAUGCCGAGAUUCUAGGCAAAGAAAACUUGAGAAAACCUGUGCCUCCUAGACCAGAAGACCUGAGCAUCAUCUGCUUCACCAGUGGGACCACAGGUGACCCCAAAGGAGCCAUGAUAACCCAUCAAAAUAUUACUUCAAAUACUGCUGCUUUUCUUAGAUCUAUGGAGGGUACUUUUGAGAUCAACCUUGAGGAUGUGACCAUAUCCUACCUCCCCUUGGCUCAUAUGUUUGAAAGGGUUGUACAGGCUGCUGUGUACACCUGUGGAGCCAAAGUUGGGUUCUUCCAAGGAGAUAUUCGGUUGCUGCCUGAUGACAUGAAGACUCUGAAGCCCACAGUGUUUCCCACGGUGCCUCGAGUCCUUAACAGGGUCUAUGAUAAGGUACAAAAUGAAACCAAGACACCCUUGAAGAAGUUCUUGUUGAACUUGGCUGUUGCCAGUAAAUUCAGUGAAGUGAAAAGAGGUGUCAUCAGGCGUGACAGUAUCUGGGACAAGCUCAUCUUUGGAAAGAUCCAGGCCAGCCUGGGAGGGAGGGUUCGCUUGUUGCUCACCGGAGCUGCCCCCAUCUCCGCUCCCAUCUUGACGUUCUUCCGUGCGGCAUUGGGAUGUCAGGUGUUUGAGGCUUAUGGUCAAACAGAAUGCACUGCUGGGUGUACAGUUACAUCACCUGGGGACUGGACAUCAGGCCAUGUUGGGGUCCCCUUGCCUUGCAAUUACGUGAAGCUGGAAGAUGUGGCUGACAUGGACUACUUUUCAGCAAACAAUGAAGGAGAGGUCUGCAUCAAAGGCACCAACGUGUUCAAAGGAUACCUGAAGGAGCCUGAGAAGACAGAGGAAGUCCUGGACAAGGAUGGCUGGCUUCACACAGGAGACAUCGGUCGCUGGCUCCCGAAUGGAACUCUGAAGAUCGUGGACCGUAAAAAGAAUAUUUUCAAGCUGGCCCAAGGAGAAUACAUCGCUCCAGAGAAGAUAGAAAAUAUCUACACCAGGAGUAGACUGGUGUCACAGAUAUUUGUACACGGGGAAAGCUUACAGUCAUCCUUAGUAGGAGUGGUGGUUCCUGACCCAGAUGUGCUGCCCUCAUUUGCAGCCAAACUUGGGGUUAAGGGCUCCCUUGAAGAACUGUGCCAGAACCAAGUUGUAAAGGAAGCCAUUUUAGAAGACUUGCAGAAAACUGGGAAAGAAGGUGGCCUUAAAUCCUUUGAACAGGUAAAAAAACAUCUUUCUUCAUCCAGAGCCAUUUUCCAUUGAAAAUGGGCUCUUAACACCAACAAUGAAAGCAAAGCGGGGAGAGCUUUCCAAGUACUUCCAGAGCCAAAUCAACAGCCUGUAUGAGAAUAUCCAGGAGUAGGUUAAGUUUGCUGCAGAGCUGGAAGCUGUGGGGCAAGGAGCUGAAACUUACCUCAAGUGCACUCUUCCAGUAAAUGAGGCAAGCACUGAGUCAAAACCUCCUGACUGAGAAAAAAUGACCUAUGGGCAAGCAUGACACCUACACAACAGGCAAUCUUCUGUCAAGGAACCAACUGAUCUUUUCUGCCCUGGACUCGUUUCUGCUGUACCCCAGACCACAGAUGUUGCUCCCACUUGUAAAAUCUUUAGAAUAAACAACUGCAGAUACUUA